GGGACUGAUGGGAGAGGAAGAAUUAGCAGCUUCCUCCCUGCCACCGAAUUUUCUGGAAUGUCUUGCUCCCAGCAUCUCUUGCAAAUUGGAACCUUGGGGAUAAUCCACUGAUUACACCUGCCUCAUCCAAUCUGAUGGGAAGAUUGCAUGGGAAGAUUGCAUGGUGGAGGGGCAUCUGUGUGGUAAUAAUAACUGCAUAAGCAUCAUAUCGUGCAAACCUCACAAUAGGUAUAAAAGGACCAUAGCACUGUCACUCACCUGUGCUUUUGCUAGGAAGAUCUGACCCUGUCCUUGACUGUGGCCUGGCUCAUGAGGUCUGGGAAACAGGGUGGGGAAGGGAGAGGGAGUGGGGAGAGACUGUCUCUGGGACAAGAACAUGAAUGUGGGUUGGACUUGCUCCCGGGCAUUUGCUUAGUGCCCAGUGAAGCUCAUGCUUUCCUGGUUCUUUCUCAAGCCCCGUCCAAGCACACCUCAGCUUUCUGGAAUGUGGUUUCCUUUUCUCCCCUUCUGCUUCUUCUCUUCUCUUUGCCCAGGUGCUAAGGGUAAGGGUACCUUGUGCCUUCGAAAGCAGGUACUUCUAUUUAUAGCUUCCAGAAGAUCCAACCCACACUCUCCUGUCAAUUAAGCCUGUUGUGGAGCCUGAUACCUCUAAAUUCAUCCGUGGGCUGCCUGAGUGGCAGGCACAGGGUGAAGGAUAUGGGUGAUGGCUUUUACCUAUUCCAGGGUGUCCCCUGAGCCCUUGUUUCAUUUGAGCUUCUUACCCUAAAGCGUGAGCCUGCCUGUUGUGAAGUCCAGCCAAAUGCCGGUGGCUUGUGCACAGAGAAUCCUACAGUAAACAAGCAUGGGGGUGCUACCAGGUCCACCCAAAAAUAAAACAGAAUAGGAUUGGUAAACAACUGGAUGAUAAUAAACCAGUUUGCAAUUCAUGGGGACAGAUGUGGAGACGUGGGGAGUUGCUAUCCUCUGGGCUCCCUGUGAGAAGCUCCCCAGGGAGACACACGCAUGCACCCACAUGCACCCACAUACACACACACACACACACACACACGCACGCACCAACACAACACACCAACACAGACACAAUCCCACGCUAGAAAGGGCCUGAGCCACCACCUCCCAUCCACAGGGGAUUCAGUCUAUGCCUACCCCACAUGUGGACACCUAUUCCUCAAUACUCCUCUCUUCAGAGUCUCCUCCAGAGACGGGGCAGCCAUCUUUGCAAGGGGGGGGGGUGCAUCUCCAGGACCUGGCUCAUCCUUUCUUUCUACAGUUCUAGAAAAGCUGAGAUUACUCCCCCAUGCUAGUUUGGGAGAGUGGUCAUGAGUGACACUCGGGAGAACAGCAAAGCCAGGGUGGACCAAGGGUGGGUGUGAGCCCCAGUUCUCCAAGUCCAAGUGACUGGGGAAGGUCGGGGUGUGAGGGACAGGUUGAGACAGGACCUGAGAAACACCCACACUGCCAAGACAAGCAUUUACACACCCACACACAGGUAGGCACAUGUGUGCGUGCACACGUAUACACACACGCACACAUACACUGAAUGUGCCCGCCCACACCUGCCGCACACGGGCUGCACACACCUCCUCGGACAUUCUCGGUCCCACUCACUCACCUACGCACUCGGGUGCCUCCGCCACGUUCCACAUUCUAAGAAUGUCCCACAGUUUCCCCUCUACAAGCUGUCACCUCCACACAGACCCACACAUGUUCAAGUUCAUAGGCUCACGCACACACAUAUACAGGCACACAUUCUCACAAGCUAUAUUUGGAGGGAAGAGAAAGCCACAGGCGCGUCCUACCUCCACAGAAGGCAUACAACCCAUAUGCCUGCUUGCACACACAUGUGUAUUCACACGCACGUCAACCUCUGCCCAUAUUCUGAUAUUCUCUCUCAAGUCUUCCCCAGGCUCAAAGACCCCAGCUAUGGAAAUGUGGUUUGUCUCUAGCCACACUCUGCCAGCCCUGAUCCUUCCCAUGCCAACAGGUUUGCACACCUAUGAGGGGCUGCCCACAGACAGUGGCUUCUGCCCACACUCUCCACCUACCUAUCCCUUUCUGCUCUGGAGUCGCCCCUCCCCACAUAGAAAUGCUUUGGUUGCACGCAUUCCCUCCCUCACCAUGUACUCCCACACACAUGACAAGUGAUAUGUCCACCCCAUAAAUAUACUGCCUCACACUGCCCCCACCCACAUAACCCAAAGGCUACUCAGAUAAGUGACCCCCCCCACACACGUACCUCACAUGUACAAGAAACGUAUGUUCCUAAACAUGCCACACAGCUGUGGAGACCCACACAUGAGCGCAGGCGUGUACAUACAGAACUAUCUACGCAAGCAAACCUCCAGGCUCCUCACAAGCAUGCAUACAUGCCGUGCACACGGAUACCCUUUGCCCAUGCCCAUCCAGAAAAGCCACCCACAAGCCAGAGGGAAGUCUCUCCCCACCCCACUGUCCCUGUUGGCAUCGCUGACUGCAGCAGAAUGGUCACGGGGUGACUGACUGUGGUGCCCCGGGGACUGGAUCCGGGGGUUAACCUCUUUGCCAAGGCCCUGGGGAACAGGGGACAAGGUCGUUGGCCCUGGCAAUCCAGGUGGGUACCGUGGGCAGUGGCAGGCCCCUGGUGCCCCCACCUCCUAGCCCCUUGCCACCUGAGUCCCUCUCAGAAUUGACAGCAGGAUGCUCUGGGGAGAAAGGGCACUCACCUGGCUCCACUGGGCUCUGCAGAGGAAGACCUGGAAGGGAGGGAAGGGAGAGACCUCUGUGUGGAUGUGCUCCCCAGGGAGAGGGGCAGCGGCGACGCCUGGGUCACAGACAGAGGCGCGCUCGCUCUCCUCUCGCUCCUCUCGAGGCUGCCAAAGAGGCUUCUUCCAUGCCCCGGCAGGCAGCUCCUGCCGGCUCUGCAGCGCACUGCUGCUGCCCCCAGAGAGGCGAUGUUCCCAGCCGAGCGCAAGGAGAGGCAAGAGCGAAAUCAAAGCAGCGUGGAGGAGAGAGAGAGAGGCAGAGAAGGCGAGAAAGAACGAGAGAGCCAGACUGAAUCUGGCUCCACCAAUGGGAUCAGUGGCUGCCCAGCGUCAGGUGACGAUAAGCAAGCUCGGUCCCUGAUCGCUCUGCUCGCUCGCUCUCCUGGGCUGGUGUGGGAGGGGAAAGGGCAGAGGGUCUCCUGGGAAGCUACGGUGAUGUCCUCAGAGAUAGCAGCGGUGGCUGCCACUCUUUUCCUUGUUUUUCCAGGACAAGCUGCCCUCAGAAGAAGUCCCUCUAACACACCCCUACUUGGAAAUCUCUCACUUGAAUGCAGCCCCCAAACUUUAGGAGGCUUUGCUACCACCAAAGGAAAACUCCAGGGAUGCCACUGUGAAGAACACUCAAGGAAAUUUGAAUCAAGCAACCAACAGUGACAAAGAGUGUGCAGUCUGGAAAAGCAUGGGCUUUACAAUUAAACAGAUACAAUUAAAAUUCUUGUUCUCUCACUUUCUAGCUGAGUGAUCUUGGACUAGUUACUCAAUCUCUCAGAGCUUUGAUUUCUUCAUCUGUCAAGUGACAUUAUAAACACUGCCAUCACUGAGUGAGAAAUUAUGUAAAUCACUAAGCUGUGAGCCUGUACGCCAGAAGGGCCCAGUCACCUAUCAGAACUGUUAUCAUUGCCAUCAUUAUUGACAAUGUCUGCCUGCAAGGAGCCCACAGUCUUUUAGGGGGAAAAGGGUGGACAUAGAGAACAAGAAAUAUACAACUAAGUUGCAAGGUACAGAUAAGGAUUCAGAGAAGAAGAAGUCUGAACCAGCUUGAAUACAGGUGGAGCAUGGCCAAGAGGGGACCAUGGAAGCAGGAGCAUGGUGGGGGUGGGGAGGGCUUGGUGCAGGGGCAGCAGACAGACCGUGCAGGCUUCAGAGUGCCACAGAAGACAUGAGUUGAGUGCACAGGACCUGGGGACCGCGGACAUCAGCAGGCGGUAAAGGUUAGAGAAGGUGACAGUGGACAGAAUGUGAAUAUUGCACAGAAAGCAAAGACAAGCAGAAGCCAAUCCUUCCCUAAAUGGGUGUGGAGAAUUUGAGCAAGUUGGGUCAGAUCCUGAACCACAGAAUGCAGUGCCGUGUGUUACACUGAGACAGGAUUAAGCACUCCCUUCGCCAAACAGAGGUAGGUCCCGCCCCAUGCACACCUACACUGAAAUGUUGCAAUCCCGAAGAGAUGCAAAACGUAAUCUCAUGGUUAUGGCCAGCACCAAACAUCUGGACCAAAACCUGGCCCUACAGCUAACCUGAGAGGCGGUGUGAGGAAAAGUCAUGUUCUCUAUGACUCGGUUCUCCCCUUAAAAGGAAGAUGAGUCCCAGCACACCUCUGCCUCCCACCUUCCCGGGAUGGCAUGUGGAGACCGCGUGAGAUCAUGUGUCCCAAGCGUGAACAACAGCCAUAUGAAUGUGCUUUUGUGGAGCUAUGUGCUAGCAUCAGGUGGAGGCACAAAGCCUCUCAGGGUUUCUGCUGCUUCUUGCCUCUGAGGACUUCUCUGCAGAUCACAUGAGAAAACACAUGGUAAGAAUGAAGCUUAACAAGCCAAAUAUAAGUAACUCUGUAUGAAACCAAACAACCACCAAAAUGCGCUUUUGCUGCAUUUUUAUUUUUAACAACUUUUUAUUACACAAGUAAUACAUGAUCACUAUAGAAUGAUGAGAAAUUUUAAUUCUAAAAUUUAGGAGAGAAUUAAAAUCAUUCAUUCCCCCACCAUUCGAAAUAGGCAUAUGAGAUAUAUAUUUUAUUAACAAAAAUAGAAAGUGUAAAUACUGUUUUAUAACCUGCUUUUUUCACUCACCAAUACCUUUUCUAUUCAAUACACAGUCUUUCUACAGUAUUGUUUUAAACUGCUGUGUAUAUUCUACUGUCAGGUCACAUACCCUUUUUUUAGAGCCAAUCCCCUAUUCUUCUAUGAGUAUUUUAUUUUUCUUCAUUCUA